rnacentral:rRNA from 1 species
GGGGUGCUAUACAUGCAGUCGAGCGAAUGGAUUAAGAGCUUGCUCUUAUGAAGUUAGCGGCGGACGGGUGAGUAACACGUGGGUAACCUGCCCAUAAGACUGGGAUAACUCCGGGAAACCGGGGCUAAUACCGGAUAACAUUUUGAACCGCAUGGUUCGAAAUUGAAAGGCGGCUUCGGCUGUCACUUAUGGAUGGACCCGCGUCGCAUUAGCUAGUUGGUGAGGUAACGGCUCACCAAGGCAACGAUGCGUAGCCGACCUGAGAGGGUGAUCGGCCACACUGGGACUGAGACACGGCCCAGACUCCUACGGGAGGCAGCAGUAGGGAAUCUUCCGCAAUGGACGAAAGUCUGACGGAGCAACGCCGCGUGAGUGAUGAAGGCUUUCGGGUCGUAAAACUCUGUUGUUAGGGAAGAACAAGUGCUAGUUGAAUAAGCUGGCACCUUGACGGUACCUAACCAGAAAGCCACGGCUAACUACGUGCCAGCAGCCGCGGUAAUACGUAGGUGGCAAGCGUUAUCCGGAAUUAUUGGGCGUAAAGCGCGCGCAGGUGGUUUCUUAAGUCUGAUGUGAAAGCCCACGGCUCAACCGUGGAGGGUCAUUGGAAACUGGGAGACUUGAGUGCAGAAGAGGAAAGUGGAAUUCCAUGUGUAGCGGUGAAAUGCGUAGAGAUAUGGAGGAACACCAGUGGCGAAGGCGACUUUCUGGUCUGUAACUGACACUGAGGCGCGAAAGCGUGGGGAGCAAACAGGAUUAGAUACC